rnacentral:lncRNA from 1 species
GGUGAUAAAGCCUUAGUAUUUGAAAAAUUAAAAACGUUGUUAACAGUUAAUUUAUAGUUUUGAACAUAUCAAUGAUAAUUCAAGUCAACACAGAAGUGCCGACUACUGGGCUGGUGAUACCAUCGGGGAAAUAAAUCUUCACUAGCAGUGGCAUCGACCGAGUGGUUGUAAAUAAACUCAUCAUAGAUACUCAAUACAGUACAAACAAACG